rnacentral:rRNA from 1 species
UGGGGAAUAUUGCACAAUGGGCGCAAGCCUGAUGCAGCCAUGCCGCGUGUGUGAAGAAGGCCUUCGGGUUGUAAAGCAACUUUCAGCGAGGAGGAAGGUGGUGAACUUAAUACGUUCAUCAAUUGACGUUACUCGCAGAAGAAGCACCGGCUAACUCCGUGCCAGCAGCCGCGGUAAUACGGAGGGUGCAAGCGUUAAUCGGAAUUACUGGGCGUAAAGCGCACGCAGGCGGUUUGUUAAGUCAGAUGUGAAAUCCCCGGGCUCAACCUGGGAACUGCAUUUGAAACUGGCAAGCUAGAGUCUCGUAGAGGGGGGCUAGAAUUCCAGGUGUAGCGGUGAAAUGCGUAGAGAUCUGGAGGAAUACCGGUGGCGAAGGCGGCCCCCCUGGACGAAGACUGACGCUCAGGUGCGAAAGGCGUGGGGG